rnacentral:tRNA from 1 species
GACGGGCUGCGUGGUGAGGGCGGUGCGCCGCCCGCGUACGGCGGUGGCCCGGGCACGGGCCAGGCGCGCGGCGUGUUCCUUUACGAGUUCGUCU